AUCGCUUCUCGGCCUUUUGGCUAAGAUCAAGUGUAGUAUCUGUUCUUAUCAGUUUAAUAUCUGAUACGUCCUCUAUCCGAGGACAAAAAAAAAAAAAAAGAAUUCCUAGUGUAUUCCAU
ensembl:snRNA U2 U2 spliceosomal RNA